rnacentral:rRNA from 1 species
AGUGAACGCUGGCGGUAGGCCUAACACAUGCAAGUCGGACGGCAGCACAGUAAGAGCUUGUUAUUACUGGUGGCGAGUGGCGGACGGGUGAGGAAUACAUCGGAAUCUACUUUUUCGUGGGGGAUAACGUAGGGUAACUUACGAUACUACCGCAUACGACAUACGGGUGAAAGCAGGGGAUCUUCGGACCUUGCGCGUUUGAAUGAGCCGAUGUCGGAUUAGCUAGUUGGCGGGGUAAAGGCCCACCAAGGCGACGAUCCGUAGCUGGUCUGAGAGGAUGAUCAGCCACACUGGAACUGAGACACGGUCCAGACUCCUACGGGAGGCAGCAGUGGGGAAUAUUGGACAAUGGGCGCAAGCCUGAUCCAGCCAUACCGCGUGGGUGAAGAAGGCCUUCGGGUUGUAAAGCCCUUUUGUUGGGAAAGAAAAGCAGCAGGUUAAAACCCCGCUGUUCUGACGGUACCCAAAGAAUAAGCACCGGCUAACUUCGUG